GACGAACGCUGGCGGCGUGCCUAAUACAUGCAAGUAGGACGCAGUUGCGAACGGGUGAGUAACGCGUAGGUAACUGCCUAUUAGCGGGGGAUAACUAGUGGAAACGAUAGCUAAUACCGCAUAAUCGUAGAUGGACCUGCGUUGUAUUAUCUAGUAGGUCGGGUAAUGGCCUACCUAGGCGACGCUACAUAGCCGACCUGUGAGAGGGUGGGUCCAUGCUAGCACUGAGACCCUGCCCCGACCCCUACGCCAGGCAGCGGUAGGGAGUCUGCGGCAAUGGCAGGAACGCUGACCGAGCCACGCCGCGUGAGUGAAGAAGGUUUUUGGAUCGUAAAGCUCUGUUGUUAAGGAAGCGGUGCUUAACCCGAAAGGGACGGCUCACUACGUGCGAGCAGCCGCGGUAAUAC
rnacentral:rRNA from 1 species